rnacentral:rRNA from 1 species
UCACUUGUUCUUUAAAUGAGGACUUGUAUCAACGGCAUCACGAGGGUUCCACUGUCUCCUUUUUCUAAUCAGUGAAACUAAUCCCCCCGUGAAGAAGCGGGGAUAAACCUAUAAGACGAGAAGACCCCAUGGAGCUUUAAACUUAGCUGUACCCCCCCCCCAMAMACCCUCUCACCAACUGGGGGCCCUACAUG